rnacentral:lncRNA from 1 species
AAGAGAAUGUCAACAGCCCUGAAGAAGUGAGAUAGUCUGCCGGUCCCCUCCCGGCUGCCGUGGGCUCGGGCGGAGGAGCGCCGGGCGGAGGGGGCACGCGAGUGCCCCGCUCCCGCGAACCCGGCGCUUUAGCGUGGAGGAGGCGGAGAGCCGAAGUAGGUUAUUUAGAAGAUUCUCAUUGCCUCUGACAAGCAAAUUGGAUCUAGACACUUCUGUUUGAGAAUAUGAAACAAAAGGAAGAAUGUGUGUGGAUUUAAAAUUACUGUAUUUAUCAAGUUGUUGUGGUGUGAGAAGUACUGGGGAAAUAGUUUGUUCUGUUGCUCAUUGUAGA